ACCCCAAACCCACGAGAAGCCUACGUCCAGUGGUACAAACGCUGUGUGCCCCAAAUCGCUUUGCCACUGUUCCCACCGGAGAGGAGAGAAGAAGAAGAAGAAAGAAGAAAGAAGAAGAAGAUCAUCGCCUCUCUCUCUCUCUACACUGUGGUGUUCUCUGCUACGAAUUUAGCUGAAAGGGAAGCCCUCAAAAGCGCAUCAUUGGAUUUCGAGUUGCAGCGAGAAUGUUUUGAUCUUCUUUUUUGCAGGCUCUGGCCAUAGAAGUUGCAGUCGCAGUCGCAGUUGCAGUACCACUGUAUUCCCUCGGUGUCUUCGUCUGUUCGUUGAGACGGAAAAUGUGAGGGUGCGAGUCCUUUUAAUUUGUGAUUUGAGUGAGUGUGUUUGUGAUGAUGGUGGCUGCUGUUUCUGGAGCAGACCCGCAAAACCCCAAAACCGGUUCGCGAGAUGAGAACCCGAGAAGGCCGCCAUUGUUGCCCUCCGAGAGAGAUAAUGGCGUUCCUGUUCCUAGAAGACCUAAAUCCAAGCAAGUCUCCUCGAGGUAUAUGUCGCCUUCGUCUUCCUCUUCCACUGCCUCUUCUUCAAUCUCUUCCGCGUCUUCCACCUCCAGGCGGUGCCCUUCACCUCUAGUUUCGAGGAAUUCGGGCUCCGUCCCGAGCACGCCGGCCUCGGCGCCGAAGCGGUCCGUGUCGGUGGACCGAAGGCGGGCGACGCCUUCUCGGCAAAUUACGCCGGAUCUCGCCGGCAAUGCGGGCAUCGGGAUGUCGGCUGCGGCGAAGCUGUUGGUGACUUCGACUCGGAGUUUGUCGGUUUCGUUUCAGGGAGAAGCCUUUUCACUGCCGGUCAGUAAGACUAAGGCGGCGCCGCCGACGCCAAAUUUGGGGAAUGUGAGGAAGGGGACGCCGGAGAGGAAGAGGAAUAGUACUCCGGCGAGGGGGAAUGGAGAUCAGGUGGAGAAUUCUAAGCCGAUUGAUCAGCACCGGUGGCCGGCAAGAAGCCGGCAACCAAACCCCUUGUCAAGGAGCUUAGAUUGCUCUCAGGAUGGUAAGAAGUUGGUUGGAUCUGGAAAUGUUGUUCGGCCAUUGCAGCAAUCUGCUAUUGAUGAAAGCAGGAGGGCUUCGUUUGAUGGUAGAUUAGGGCUUGAUUUCAGCAAUGCUGAACUCUUGAAAUCAAUCCACCAUCGCUUAGAUGGGAACUCAGUUAAUGGGAACUCACUUAAUGAGUCCUCUGUGCCUUCUGAUCUCUCAGCGUCUGACACUGACAGUAUUUCUUCUGGUAGCACCUCUGGGGUGCAAGAAUGUGGUGGGCUUGCAAGGACACGGAGUGCACCCCGUGGAAUGUUUGUUUCGGCGAGGUUUUGGCAAGAGACAAAUAGUCGUUUGAGGAGGUUGCAGGAUCCAGGUUCACCAUUAUCAACGAGUCCUGCAAAAAUGAUGAUUCCACCAAAGUUUGCUCAUCCAAAGAAGUGUGAUAAUCUGUUGUCCUCUCCACGGACAACUUCGUCUCCUAUUAGGGGAGCCAUGAGGCCUGCAUCACCAAGUAAGCUUAUGACGUCAAUGGGAUCAUCACCCUCAAGGGGAAUGCCUAGUCCAUCUCGAGUUAGAAAUUCAGUUUCUGGAAUCAUUAAUAGUAAUUAUAUUGAGACACCCUCAGUUCUCAGCUUUGCUGUUGACGUUAGGAGGGGGAAGGUGGGGGAGAACCGCAUUAUUGAAGCGCAUUUGUUAAGGCUUUUGUACAAUCGACACUUGCAAUGGCGGUUUGUAAAUGCUAGGACAGAAGCUGCCUUGUUGGUGCAGAAACGUAAUGCAGAGAAAAAUAUGUGGAAUGCCUGGAUAACAAUCUCAGAUCUACGUGAUUCAGUCACCAAAAAAAGACAUCGGUUACAAUUAUUGAGACAAAAGUUGAAGCUUGCUUCUAUUCUGAAGCGGCAGAUUACUUGUUUGGAAGAUUGGGCUUCUUUGGAUAAAGACCAGUCUGUUUCUUUGCUUGGAGCAAUUGAAGCAUUGAAGGCUAGCACCCUUCGUCUUCCAGUUGUUGGAGGAGCAAUUGCUGACAUCCAAAGUAUAAAGGAUGCCGUUGGUUCAGCAGUUGAUGUGGCACAAGCGAUGGCAUCUUCAGUGUGCUCACUUUUGUCAAAGGUGGAGGAAGUGAAUUUCUUGGUGGCUGAACUUGCAAAAGUGAUUGCCAAAGAGCGGGCUUUGCUUGAACAAUGCAAAGAUUUCUUGUCUGCUUUGGCAGCCCUGCAGGUUAGAGACUGCAGUCUGAAAACUCAUGUUUUACAACUUCAUUCUUUACCUAAAGCCUGACAACAAGUGUGCAGAACUGAUCUCAUUUGACUAUCUAAAAGCUAACUUGAUACUAAAACUUGCCGACCUAGCAGAGGUACCCCACGCCACUGGAGCAAAAUUCCCUUGGAUUCCGGGUGGUUCAUUCGCCAGGAGGUGGCCGUUAUGUUAGGUUUAAUGCACAAUUACAGAGUGGCCUGAGUAGCUUAGUGAAGUUGGAAUGGCAGAUUGGGAAAUGAAUUUGCCAGGCAAGGAAAGCAGACUUUUUCCACUUUCUCUAGCUUGGCAAAGCUUCACUGAAUGUGAAGAGGGUAUGACACGUAUUUAUUACUCGGAAUAAUCGGAUUGAAGAGAAAACAUCCACCAAAAUAGCAAAUAAUUAUGAAAAUUUCAUUUUCUA